GGGGGCUGCGGGAUUCGUGCCUCUCCCGGCGCAGCGAUCCCGCAGGUGGCGAUGUUGGAUUGUCCAAGCCGGGUCCCCCCGCCCGCGCCAGACCGGCCCCGCUCGGGGCAGCAGCGCUGGAGCUGCCCCGGGUCCAGCGGAGCAGGGCUGGACUCUGAGCCCCUCCGGAGAGGGACAAAUAUUGCACAGCUACCCCAAACUCCAGACCACGUGUUAAAUGUACUGCUCUGGACAGCUUGUUUGAUCUUCACAGUGAAGAAACCAAAGCUGAACAAAUCAAGGAAAGGAAAAAUAAUUUCCAUUUUCUGGGGGUCACAGAAAGUUCAGGUUCUUCGCCAGAAUUAAACAUUUGCACACAGGUCUCAGUGGAAUCAAAUGAUUGUCUUUCCCAAAGAACAUUUUGAGAGGAAAUUGUGAAAUAGGCAAGUAAAAGCUUUUUAAUCACAGCUAUAAAUUAAAGUUUUUCUACAUCCGCUUUUAGGCUGACUUAUUAGAGAAACAGUGAUGGAAUUACUGGAAUUAAUUCUUAUUAAUUUGGAAUAUCCAUUCUCUUUUUCUCUAUGGCUGGAGUGCUAUAAAGACUAUGGGAAUUACUAGACAGAAAGCAUGUUCUUCACAGCUCAAGCCAAUGUGUUUUGUGUGAGAAAUUCCCAGUAACAGCCCCAGAUCUCCUUUCCCUGUCUCCUUCCACUUAUGUGGCAGUGGAAUUUUGGCUAUUCUGGGAAAAGGCCAGGUCAUAGAUUAGACCUGAGUAAAAAUGUAAUGUAACUUUCUGCUUUAACCCAGGCAGGAGAGCAGAGGGGUGCAGGGGGAGCUGUCCCUGUCACAGUGACGUAAAUUGGCAUCGUAGCCCUGUUUUCUCCCCAGGGACACUGGGUUUAUCCCCUCAGUUUAAUUAAAACCCAAGCAGACAAGCCUGGUUUAUGCCCUCAGUUUAGCUCCAACAAGCAGACAAACCUGUUGUCCUGGGAUCCUUAAAUCUGAUGGUGGAAGUGCAACCUUGCAGCCCCCAAAAAUUCACAGUGGGUGCAAACAUUUCAUAGACCCAGCGUGGUGUGUCCACAUUCUGAGGUGUUUCUUUCUGCCUCCCCAGGUGCAGGUGCUGUUUGUGGGGUGCAGCAGCCCUGGGCUCCAUGUCCUGCCCUCUGGAAUGUGGGAGCCAGGGAGGAGCUGGGAGAAGGAUCUGUGGGAGCAGGCUCUGAACUGGGCAGUGCAUCCUUCUCUGAUCUCCACUGGGAUGAUGCAGCAGGCUGGGGAAGUGCCCUGGUUAAGUGCCUGGUGAGUUUUCCCUCUGGGAAUGUCUGGGAGAAGAUAUCUCCCAGAUAUCUUCUGGGAAGUCUGCUCUGAUAUCUCAAUUUACAGCAGUGACACUUAACCUCUCCUUAUACAAUCAAUCAUUUUGUAUUCAUUUUUUAAACGAAGGCAUUGACAUAAAAUUGGUCCCUCCAUUGUUUAAAGGAGGGAGUUUAAUGAGUGUUACCUUAGUUCUGCAGGGCUCUAGCCUUUAAAUAAAAAGAAUCUCUUUUACUCA